ACAACUUUCAGCAAUGGAUGUCUUGGCUCCCACAACGAUGAUGAACGCAGCGAAAUGCGAUACGUCUUGCGAAUUGCAUAUCUUCGUGAAUCAUUAAAAUUUUGAACGCACAUUGCGC
rnacentral:rRNA from 1 species